GUCCACGCCCUAAACGAUGUCAACUGGUUGUUGGGUCUUCACUGACCCAGUAACGAAGCUAACGCGUGAAGUUGACCGCCUGGGGAGUACGGCCGCAAGGUUGAAACUCAAAGGAAUUGACGGGACCCGCACAAGCGGUGGAUGAUGUGGUUUAAUUCGAUGCAACGCGAAAACCUUACCCACCUUUGACAUGUACGGAAGUCGCUAGAGAUAGCUUCGUGCUCGAAAGAGAGCCGUAACACAGGUGCUGCAUGGCUGUCGU
rnacentral:rRNA from 1 species